rnacentral:rRNA from 1 species
CACGUAGGGGACGAGCGUUGUCCGGAUUCAUUGGGCGUAAAGCGCGCGUAGGCGGCUCGGAAAGUCGGUCGUGAAAUGCCGGGGCUCAACCCCGGGACUGCGUCCGAUACUUCCGGGCUGGAGGUAGGUAGGGGAGAUCGGAAUUCCUGGUGUAGCGGUGAAAUGCGCAGAUAUCAGGAGGAACACCGGUGGCGAAGGCGGAUCUCUGGGCCUUACCUGACGCUGAGGAACGAAAGCGUGGGGAGCAAACAGG